rnacentral:rRNA from 1 species
AACGAACGCUGGCGGCAUGCCUAACACAUGCAAGUCGAACGAGACCUUCGGGUCUAGUGGCGCACGGGUGCGUAACGCGUGGGAACCUGCCCUUAGGUUCGGAAUAACUCCCCGAAAGGGGUGCUAAUACCGGAUCAUGUCUUCGGACCAAAGAUUUAUCGCCUUUGGAUGGGCCCGCGUUGGAUUAGCUAGUUGGUAGGGUAAAAGCCUACCAAGGCGACGAUCCAUAGCUGGUCUGAGAGGAUGAUCAGCCACACUUGGACUGAGACACGGCCCAGACUCCUACGGGAGGCAGCAGUGGGGAAUAUUGGACAAUGGGCGAAAGCAUGAUCCAGCAAUGCCGCGUGAGUGAUGAAGGCCUUAGGGUUGUAAAGCUCUUUUACCCGGGAUGAUAAUGACAGUACCGGGAGAAUAAGCUCCGACUAACUCCGUG